rnacentral:rRNA from 1 species
GAUGAACGCUGGCGGCGUGCUUAACACAUGCAAGUCGAACGGAAAGGCCCAAGCUUGCUUGGGUACUCGAGUGGCGAACGGGUGAGUAACACGUGGGUGAUCUGCCCUGCACUUCGGGAUAAGCCUGGGAAACUGGGUCUAAUACCGGAUAGGACGAUGGUUUGGAUGCCAUUGUGGAAAGUUUUUUCGGUGUGGGAUGAGCUCGCGGCCUAUCAGCUUGUUGGUGGGGUAAUGGCCUACCAAGGCGUCGACGGGUAGCCGGCCUGAGAGGGUGUACGGCCACAUUGGGACUGAGGUACGGCCCAGACUCCUACGGGAGGCAGCAGUGGGGAAUAUUGCACAAUGGGCGCAAGCCUGAUGCAGCGACGCCGCGUGGGGGAUGACGGCCUUCGGGUUGUAAACUCCUUUCGCUAGGGACGAAGCGUUUUUGUGACGGUACCUGGAGAAGAAGCACCGGCUAACUACGUG